UACGAAGGGGGCUAGCGUUGCUCGGAAUCACUGGGCGUAAAGCGCACGUAGGCGGCUUGUUAAGUCAGGGGUGAAAUCCUGGAGCUCAACUCCCAGAACUGCCUUUGAUACUGGCAAGCUUGGAGUCCGGGAGAGGUGAGUGGAACUGCGAGUGUAGAGGUGAAAUUCGUAGAUAUUCGCAAGAACACCAGUGGCGAAGGCGGCUCACUGGCCCAGUACUGACGCUGAGGUGCGAAAGCGUGGGGAGCAAACAGG
rnacentral:rRNA from 1 species